UGGGGAAUAUUGCACAAUGGGCGCAAGCCUGAUGCAGCCAUGCCGCGUGUGUGAAGAAGGCCUUCGGGUUGUAAAGCACUUUCAGCGGGGAGGAAGGCGUUAAGGUUAAUAACCUUGGCGAUUGACGUUACCCGCAGAAGAAGCACCGGCUAACUCCGUGCCAGCAGCCGCGGUAAUACGGAGGGUGCAAGCGUUAAUCGGAAUUACUGGGCGUAAAGCGCACGCAGGCGGUUGAUUGAGUCAGAUGUGAAAUCCCCGGGCUUAACCCGGGAAUUGCAUCUGAUACUGGUCAGCUAGAGUCUUGUAGAGGGGGGUAUAAUUCCAUGUGUAGCGGUGAAAUGCGUAGAGAUGUGGAGGAAUACCGGUGGCGAAGGCGGCCCCCUGGACAAAGACUGACGCUCAGGUGCGAAAGCGUGGGGAGCAAACAGGA
rnacentral:rRNA from 1 species